rnacentral:rRNA from 1 species
CCUACGGGAGGCUGCAGUGGGGAAUAUUGGGCAAUGGGCGCAAGCCUGACCCAGCAAUGCCGCGUGAAGGAAGAAGGCUUUCGGGUUGUAAACUUCUUUGACAGGGGAAGAGCAGAAGACGGUACCCUGACAACAAGCCACGGCUAACUACGUGCCAGCAGCCGCGGUAAUACGUAGGUGGCAAGCGGUGUCCGGAUUUACUGGGUGUAAAGGGCGUGUAGCCGGGAAGGCAAGUCCGAUGUGAAAUCUGGAGGCUCAACCUCCAAAUUGCAGUUGAAACUGUUUUUCUUGAGUACUGGAGAGGCAGACGGAAUUCGUGGUGUAGCGGUGAAAUGCGUAGAUAUAAGGAGGAACACCAGUGGCGAAGGCGGUCUGCUGGACAGCAACUGACGGUGAGGCGCGAAAGCGUGGGUAGCGAACAGGAUUAGAUACCCGGGUAGUC